CUCCCGUGAGAGUGGCGGAUUGGGAGGAACACGUGAGCAACCUGCCCUGGAGAUGGGGAAAACCGUUGGAAACGACGGCUAAUACCGAAUGUUGCGCCGAGGGCAUCCUCCGAGCGCGAAGGGGGCCGCAAGGCUCCCGCUCCGGGAUGGGCUCGCGCACCAUCAGCUAGUUGGCGGGGUAACGGCCCACCAAGGCUCACGGUUAGCUGGUCUGAGAGGAUGGCCAGCCCCACUGGGACUGAGAUACUGCCCAGACUCCUACGGGAGGCUGCAGUCGAGGAUCAUUUGCAAUGGGCGAAAGCCUGACAAUGCGACGCUGCGUGGAGGAAUGGAGGCCUUCGGGUUGUAAACUCCUGUCAUGGGGGAACAGGCGAGGAUACCCAACACGUAUCUUAGUUGAGUGUACCCCAAGAGGAAUUGGCGGCUAACUCUGUGCCAGCAGCGGC
rnacentral:rRNA from 1 species